AACGCGUUAAGUCGACCGCCUGGGGAGUACGGCCGCAAGGUUAAAACUCAAAUGAAUUGACGGGGGCCCGCACAAGCGGUGGAGCAUGUGGUUUAAUUCGAUGCAACGCGAAGAACCUUACCUGGUCUUGACAUCCACAGAACUUUCCAGAGAUGGAUUGGUGCCUUCGGGAACUGUGAGACAGGUGCUGCAUGGCUGUCGUCAGCUCGUGUUGUGAAAUGUUGGGUUAAGUCCCGCAACGAGCGCAACCCUUAUCCUUUGUUGCCAGCGGUCCGGCCGGGAACUCAAAGGAGACUGCCAGUGAUAAACUGGA
rnacentral:rRNA from 1 species